rnacentral:rRNA from 1 species
UGGGGAAUUUUGGACAAUGGGCGAAAGCCUGAUCCAGCAAUGCCGCGUGUGUGAAGAAGGCCUUCGGGUUGUAAAGCACUUUUGUCCGGAAAGAAAUCCUUGGCUCUAAUACAGUCGGGGGAUGACGGUACCGGAAGAAUAAGCACCGGCUAACUACGUGCCAGCAGCCGCGGUAAUACGUAGGGUGCAAGCGUUAAUCGGAAUUACUGGGCGUAAAGCGUGCGCAGGCGGUUUGCUAAGACCGAUGUGAAAUCCCCGGGCUCAACCUGGGAACUGCAUUGGUGACUGGCAGGCUAGAGUAUGGCAGAGGGAGGUAGAAUUCCACGUGUAGCAGUGAAAUGCGUAGAGAUGUGGAGGAAUACCGAUGGCGAAGGCAGCCCCUGGGCCAAUACUGACGCUCAUGCACGAAAGCGUGGGGAGCAAACAGGAUUAGAUACCCUGGUAGUCCACGCCCUAAAACGAUGUCAACUAGUUGUUGGGGAUUCAUUUCCUUAGUAACGUAGCUAACGCGUGAAGUUGACCGCCUGGGGAGUACGGUCGCAAGAUUAAAACUUAAAGGAAUUGACGGGGUCAUAGCUGUUUCCU